rnacentral:lncRNA from 1 species
AGCAGGGGGGUUGACACUAGAUGAUCUUUUAGGUCCUUUUCAACCCAGGCCAUUCUGAUUCUAUAAUUCUAUGAUUCUAUGACUGCUCUCCAAACCUACCUUCUAAUGUAGAAUUUUCAGAAAAAUUCAGUUAAUAGCAAAGAACCUCAUCUUUGGUAUUAGACGUAGAGAUAUUAACCUCAAUUUUUCUCUCCCUGUGGAUGCAAAAAAAAAAAAAAAGUAACUUGAGUAGCACCACAAAAAGUGCAAGUAUUUGAUCAUCCCAUGAUACAUUCCACAUUAAAUUGUCUUAGAAUAGCCUUCCUGCUGAGAGGCCACUUAGACACAGCUCUCACCUCUUGCUGAAACGAGCAUUGCACCUGUGAAUGAAUGUAUUCACUCCCUUCUCCCUGAAAAACAGGUAAGAAAAUUGUGACUGUAGUUCUAACAAGGGAGCUCCCAGAUAUUUCUUCUAUAUUUGAAUACUAAUGCUCAAAAUGCACUUUUCCCCAGAUACCUUUCUUUCUAGAUGAACUAUGGCUGUUAUGUCUCUGUGUUGGAGUAAGAGGGACUGCUCAAGACCAAAAUUUCAAAACCGUUAGUUAAGCAAAGGUCCACAGCUUCCAAUGGACAAAUGCUUUGCAAUCUAAUUUCUAGUGCAGUUUUCUUAAAAUGGACAAAGUAUUUCUGCCAGUUCAGCAGUUCUGUAGUUUUCUUCACGGAAUUGUGAUUUAAAGGCUUGUGACCAAUGAACCUCUAAAUUGAAGAAGGAUCAGUGGAGAAGGGCAAGGUUGAUGUGCCUAUCAAGCUCAGGGAACAAAGCCGGGUGUGACUGACCACAGCUAAAGCAAAGUAAGUGUAACAAUUUACAUUUUUACUGGGAUUUCAGUAUAUUUUGUGUCACACAGCUAAAUUAGAAAUGCAAUGCAAGACUAACAUCAACUUUGUUGGUGUUAAACAUUUUACCCUUCACACAUGGAAUAUCUAAAAGAACCUGAUUGAAGAGUAUUGGACUCUGACAGGGCUGAAAGGGGGUUUUCUCCAACAUCUGGUAUCCCAUCAUGGCUGGUUAGAUGAGAUCCCUUUUUGUUUUUGCUGUACAAGCAUGUCAGGACGAAAGUCCACCAAGUAUUUCCUCUGCAGCUUUGACCAUGAUUUAAGCAGGGAUUAGAUGAGCGUAAAGGAAAACCCUGCAUGUAGUCUUCCCUGAAUUUAAUUUUGUGUAGCUUAGACAUGGUUCACUGCCUGACCUUGU